UACGUAGGGUGCGAGCGUUAAUCGGAAUUACUUGGCGUAAAGCGUGCGCAGGCGGUCUGUUAAGACAGAUGUGAAAUCCCCGGGCUUAACCUGGGAACUGCAUUUGUGACUGGCAGGCUAGAGUAUGGCAGAGGGGGGUAGAAUUCCACGUGUAGCAGUGAAAUGCGUAGAGAUGUGGAGGAAUACCGAUGGCGAAGGCAGCCCCCUGGGCCAAUACUGACGCUCAUGCACGAAAGCGUGGGGAGCAAACAGG
rnacentral:rRNA from 1 species